GACGAACGCUGUCGGCGUGCUUAACACAUGCAAGUCGAACGGAAAGGCCCUGCUUUUGUGGGGUGCUCGAGUGGCGAACGGGUGAGUAACACGUGAGUAACCUGCCCUUGACUUUGGGAUAACUUCAGGGAACUGGGGCUAAUACCGGAUAGGAGCUCCUGCUGCAUGGUGGGGGUUGGAAAGUUUCGGCGGUUGGGGAUGGACUCGCGGCUUAUCAGCUUGUUGGUGGGGUAGUGGCUUACCAAGGCUUUGACGGGUAGCCGGCCUGAGAGGGUGACCGGCCACAUUGGGACUGAGAUACGGCCCAGACUCCUACGGGAGGCAGCAGUGGGGAAUAUUGCACAAUGGGCGGAAGCCUGAUGCAGCAACGCCGCGUGCGGGAUGACGGCCUUCGGGUUGUAAACCGCUUUCGCCUGUGACGAAGCGUGAGUGACGGUAAUGGGUAAAGAAGCACCGGCUAACUACGUGCCAGCAGCCGCGGUGAUACGUAGGGUGCGAGCGUUGUCCGGAUUUAUUGGGCGUAAAGGGCUCGUAGGUGGUUGAUCGCGUCGGAAGUGUAAUCUUGGGGCUUAACCCUGAGCGUGCUUUCGAUACGGGUUGACUUGAGGAAGGUAGGAGAGAAUGGAAUUCCUGGUGGAGCGGUGGAAUGCGCAGAUAUCAGGAGGAACACCAGUGGCGAAGGCGGUUCUCUGGGCCUUUCCUGACGCUGAGGAGCGAAAGCGUGGGGAGCGAACAGGCUUAGAUACCCUGGUAGUCCACGCUGUAAACGGUGGGUACUAGGUGUGGGGUCCAUUCCACGGGUUCCGUGCCGUAGCUAACGCUUUAAGUACCCCGCCUGGGGAGUACGGCCGCAAGGCUAAAACUCAAAGGAAUUGACGGGGCCCCGCACAAGCGGCGGAGCAUGCGGAUUAAUUCGAUGCAACGCGUAGAACCUUACCUGGGUUUGACAUGGAUCGGGAGUGCUCAGAGAUGGGUGUGCCUCUUUUGGGGUCGGUUCACAGGUGGUGCAUGGCUGUCGUCAGCUCGUGUCGUGAGAUGUUGGGUUAAGUCCCGCAACGAGCGCAACCCUUGUUCACUGUUGCCAGCACGUUAUGGUGGGGACUCAGUGGAGACCGCCGGGGUCAACUCGGAGGAAGGUGGGGAUGACGUCAAGUCAUCAUGCCCCUUAUGUCCAGGGCUUCACGCAUGCUACAAUGGCUGGUACAGAGAGUGGCGAGCCUGUGAGGGUGAGCGAAUCUCGGAAAGCCGGUCUCAGUUCGGAUUGGGGUCUGCAACUCGACCUCAUGAAGUCGGAGUCGCUAGUAAUCGCAGAUCAGCAACGCUGCGGUGAAUACGUUCCCGGGGCU
rnacentral:rRNA from 1 species